rnacentral:lncRNA from 1 species
GAAUUCGUACGAAGAUGUGAUGAAUGCCAAAGGCAUUCUCCAAUGAUUCAUCGAGCCGGAGAGCUGCUACAUUCGGUCUUAUCACCAUGGCCAUUCAUGAAAUAGGGGAUGGACAUCGUGGGCCUGCUUCCACGAGCACCCAGUAAGGCCCAAUUUAUUUUGUUUAUGACUGACUAUUUUUUUAAAUGGGUGAAAGCCCAGACAUAUGUGAAGGUUAGAGAGAAGGAGGUCAUCGAUGUUAUCUGGGACCAUAUUAUAUCAUAAACUUGAAAAAACAACACCACCAAAAAUAUCGUUAUAUAGAUUUAAAUGUACAAACAAUAGCAUAAAUUUUAAAAGUAGAAAGAAACAACAUAUUUUGUAAGUGUAAGAUAGAGUCCGUCUUAAGUGUAGGAAGAGCAGCCCCUUAAAUAGGCAAAUACAGUCACUUGUUGGGACAGAUUUUGGUUCACCAAAAAUCUGUCCAAAAGACUGACUUUGUAUGCUAAACACUGUUCAAAAUCUGUCCAAAAGAUGAAAGGGCAGUCUGAAAAUCUGCUAUGUCAGAAGCAAGGAGAAAAAAUAUCAUUUCAGCCACCCUACUAGUAGAAAGUAAGCUACUAGUACCUUAUUUUAUGAUAAAACCCAUCUAAACUUCAGAUUUUAACAACAUCAAUACCACUAUAUUGAUUUUGAACCAAAUCAAACUCAAACAACUAAAAACAAUUGACAAAACAGAAACAAGACUUCAAAUGGAACUAAAACUCAAACUAACUAGAUUAAAACAAUUGAUUUGUGCAAACUAACCAUAGAACAAACAACUGAAUUCACAAACUAAUGCUCAAAACAGAAAUUAGACGAGCAUCGCUAACAAUCGGACGACUACAUUCAACAACUAAAUAAUCGAUUAACUAAGUAAAUGAUUGAACUAAUACAUUAAAGAUCACAUUUAAUCAAUAACAAUCCAACUAACAACUAAACUAAAUAGAGAUAACUAAUUAAAUAAACCUAACUUGAAACUCUAAUUAACAAGAAAUAACCAAAACAGAAAAAUCAAAAAUUAGAAAACAAAAUUAAAAUCAGGAACUAAACUAUUACUACUAAAAAAAUUAGAAAUUAAGUAAAAAGUUGACGGUUAUACCUAACGAGCGUGCUUGAAGCUGUUCGGGCCACGAGAAGAUGCCAGAGAUGCUAAAAUGCGACUGCUGACUCCGAAAUGCAUAUUCCUUUCAGGUAGAUGCUAGAACGAAAUGAGUUUCAGCAUCUCGCCAAAAGAAACGAGUGUCUUUGAGUCAAAAAAUAGCUAAGAUGGGGGUUCGGGGCAUUUUGGUGGUGGUGAGGCAGUGGAGGCGCGACGACGGUGAGGGUAGCUGGCCGGCGGCGACGGGAAUUUUGGGGGUGAAAUGGGUAGGAAAAGAUAGGUCGCGCGGAGCUCUAUCUAUUCAUGUAUGUGUUGUAGGGUGGUGUUAGCCGGAGCUUCAAGAAUUUGGGCCAAAAAGUGACUGCUAAAGUUUCCUAGAUUUAAAAUUCAAGGAGUUUGAGAGGGUUUUGAAGGAAUUGGUUUGGAGAUAUGGAAAGAGGAGGUUAUGGAGAUUACAUGAUGUGAAUUUGGAGGUGUUUGGAGGUGGUCCGCCGCCGGUAGGUGAUUUCCGGCGGCGGCGAAAAGAGAGAGAAGAGAGAAAGAG